CCUACGGGAGGCAGCAGUGGGGAAUUUUGGACAAUGGGCGAAAGCCUGAUCCAGCAAUGCCGCGUGCAGGAAGAAGGCCUUCGGGUUGUAAACUGCUUUUGUACGGAACGAAACGGUCUGCUUUAAUACAGUGGGCUAAUGACGGUACCGUAAGAAUAAGCACCGGCUAACUACGUGCCAGCAGCCGCGGUAAUACGUAGGGUGCGAGCGUUAAUCGGAAUUACUGGGCGUAAAGCGUGCGCAGGCGGUUAUAUAAGACAGUUGUGAAAUCCCCGGGCUCAACCUGGGAAUUGCAUCUGUGACUGUAUAGCUAGAGUACGGUAGAGGGGGAUGGAAUUCCGCGUGUAGCAGUGAAAUGCGUAGAUAUGCGGAGGAACACCGAUGGCGAAGGCAAUCCCCUGGACCUGUACUGACGCUCAUGCACGAAAGCGUGGGGAGCAAACAGGAUUAGAUACCCUGGUAGUCCACGCCCUAAACGAUGUCAACUGGUUGUUGGGUGCAUUAGUACUCAGUAACGAAGCUAACGCGUGAAGUUGACCGCCUGGGGAGUCGGCCGCAAGGUUGAAACUCAAAGGAAUUGGAGCGNGAGAGAGCGAGACGACGACGAGGGAGGAGG
rnacentral:rRNA from 1 species